rnacentral:misc_RNA from 1 species
UGAGUUGAGUUGAGUUGAGUUUUUUCUUCGCUUGGACACAAACCCAGUUCUUGCUCCUCUUUAUGAUAUGCCCAAAACCUAUAACAAUUAAUCAAUUAAUAUGUAUAAUCCUCUUUGCUUGUGCUUAUAAUCUUCUUUUUUGUAUUUCAUUAAUAGUUUAUUCAUCAGUAAUUAACUUUACUAUUUUUAACAGUUUUAGUUAACACCGUUAAUUUUUUAUUUAUUUGACCUAAAUUUAAAACUUGAAGGGUAUAUUUGACUGCAAAUUUUGUUCAGGUGCUAAUCUGACUAUUUGCCAAUAGUUAAAGGGCUAAAAGAGACCUUUUGCCUUAUAUCUUCUAUGCCCUUUUGGAUAUAAUAUAUGCAACUAUAGAG